rnacentral:rRNA from 1 species
UACGUAGGUGGCGAGCGUUGUCCGGAUUUACUGGGCGUAAAGGGAGCGUAGGCGGACUUUUAAGUGAGAUGUGGAAUACCCGGGCUCAACUUGGGUGCUGCAUUUCAAACUGGAAGUCUAGAGUGCAGGAGAGGAGAAUGGAAUUCCUAGUGUAGCGGUGAAAUGCGUAGAGAUUAGGAAGAACACCAGUGGCGAAGGCGAUUCUCUGGACUGUAACUGACGCUGAGGCUCGAAGGCGUGGGGAGCAAACAGGAUUAGAUACCCU